rnacentral:tRNA from 1 species
GGCAGGUUGCCCGAGCGGCCAAUGGGAGCGGACUGUAAAUCCGUCGCGAAAGCUUCACAGGUUCGAAUCCUGUACCUGCCACAA